rnacentral:rRNA from 1 species
UACAGAGGGGGCAAGCGUUGUUCGGAAUUACUGGGCGUAAAGGGCGCGUAGGCGGCCUUCUAAGUCGAACGUGAAAUCCCCGGGCUCAACCCGGGAACUGCGUCCGAUACUGGAAGGCUUGAAUCCGGGAGAGGGAUGCGGAAUUCCAGGUGUAGCGGUGAAAUGCGUAGAUAUCUGGAGGAACACCGGUGGCGAAGGCGGCAUCCUGGACCGGCAUUGACGCUGAGGAGCGAAAGCAUGGGGAGCGAACAGG